AUUGAACGCUGGCGGCAGGCUUAACACAUGCAAGUCGAGCGGAGAUGAGGUGCUUGCACCUUAUCUUAGCGGCGGAUGGGUGAGUAAUGCUUAGGAAUCUGCCUAUUAGUGGGGGACAACAUUCCGAAAGGAAUGCUAAUACCGCAUACGUCCUACGGGAGAAAGCAGGGGAUCUUCGGACCUUGCGCUAAUAGAUGAGCCUAAGUCGGAUUAGCUAGUUGGUGGGGUAAAGGCCUACCAAGGCGACGAUCUGUAGCGGGUCUGAGAGGAUGAUCCGCCACACUGGGACUGGGACAGGGCCGGGACUCCUACGGGAGGCAGCAGUGGGGAAUAUUGGACAAUGGGGGAAACCCUGAUCUAGCCAUGCCGCGUGUGUGAAGAAGGCCUUAUGGGUGUAAAGCACUUUAAGCGAGGAGGAGGCUACUGAGACUAAUACUCUUGGAUAGUGGACGUUACUCGCAGAAUAAGCACCGGCUAACUCUGUGCCAGCCGCCGCCGUAAAAC
rnacentral:rRNA from 1 species